rnacentral:tRNA from 1 species
CCGUCGAUAGCUCAUUGGUAGAGCGGUGGGCUGUAGGCAUGGGGAUCCAUAGGUCGCUGGUUUGAAUCCGGCUCGACGGA